rnacentral:rRNA from 1 species
CCUACGGGAGGCAGCAGUGGGGAAUAUUGGGCAAUGGGCGCAAGCCUGACCCAGCAACGCCGCGUGAAGGAAGAAGGCUUUCGGGUUGUAAACUUCUUUUGUCAGGGAAGAGUAGAAGACGGUACCUGACGAAUAAGCCACGGCUAACUACGUGCCAGCAGCCGCGGUAAUACGUAGGUGGCAAGCGUUGUCCGGAUUUACUGGGUGUAAAGGGCGUGUAGCCGGGUUGACAAGUCAGAUGUGAAAUCCUGCGGCUUAACCGCAGAACUGCAUUUGAAACUGUUGGUCUUGAGUACUGGAGAGGCAGGCGGAAUUCCUAGUGUAGCGGUGAAAUGCGUAGAUAUUAGGAGGAACACCAGUGGCGAAGGCGGUCUGCUGGACAGCAACUGACGGUGAGGCGCGAAAGCGUGGGGAGCAAACAGGAUUAGAUACCCCAGUAGUC